rnacentral:misc_RNA from 1 species
AAGUCGUAACAAGGUUUCCGUAGGUGAACCUGCGGAAGGAUCAUUAACAAUUAUCCAAUCCCAUAUGGAUGGUUUAAAUCCAUAUCCACCUUGUGUGCACCCAUUGAAAUGUUUGCUUUGGCAGCGCAGAGUCUGUUGGGUUGGAAAAUAGGGAAUUUUCAAAGGAAAAAACCUGCCAUUUGACAACUUUUCAGCGAGGGGUCAAUGCUCUCGGCCUGCCAAGGUUUUUUUUUGUUUACCCACUCUAAAAACACUCGGCUCAAACUUUUUUGUCAGUCUGAAAUUUUAUACAAAUAAAAU